rnacentral:ncRNA from 1 species
AGACAUAGAAUGAUAAGGUUGUAUGUCAAAAGGGAAACAGCCCAGAACAAGAGUUAAGGUUCCAAAAUUAUUAGUUAAGUGAAAUUAAGAAAGUUUUUAUUAAAGUCGACAAGGAGAUAGGCUUAGAAGCAGCCACAAUUUUAUGACCUCGUAACAGAGCGCUUGUUAAGUUAUAAAAGCAUCGAAAAUUUAACGGAUCUAAACAAUAUACCGAAACCUUGUCCAUAUAAAAUAAAAUUUUAUUUUAAUUAUAUGGGGUAGCAGAACGUUGAAUUAUGUUAAGACUUUUAUUUUUUAAAUAAAAGUAACUAUUUUUAUAUAAUAAAUUCUAGCCUAAUUUGAAUAUUACUAGAAUUCCCAUUUAUAAAAAUGAAAAGUCAAAUUCAAGUGAGAAUGGUGACAUGAGUAACUAAAAGAAAAAUUUAAUUUUUCCGCCUAAAGCUUAUGGAUGACAUUAAGUAACGGCCUCUAAGUUUAUAAUUAUCUAAAGGUUUAAACGAUGAGAAAUCUUGAUUACUAAGGACGACAUUUUUGUGAAAAAUGUACUGGAAAAAUAGUAAUAUUCCUAUGGAUUAAUAAUCUAUAGGAAUUAUACUAAGGACGACAUUUUAGUGUAAAAUGUACUGGAAAAAUAGUAAUACGAUUAUACUAAUUAUUCAAUAGAAUAAGGAUAUAACGAAAACAACCGUACCUAGAUUCUGAAACAAGUAAGCUAGUAGAGAAUACGAAGGCGUAAAUGAGCUAACAAUCAUAAAGGAACUCGGCAAAUUGACUACCGUAACUUCGGAAUAAGGAGGGCUCAUUAUUCUUGAUUAAUAUCAAGUAAAAAGGAAGAAGCAUGAAAUAGUGUUGUACGACUGUUUAAUUAAAACACAGCACUUUGCUGAAAGAUUAAAAAUCUAAGUAUAAAGUGUGAGAUCUGCCCAGUGCCGGCUGGUUAACAGAGACAACUAGGUAUACUAUUAAUUAAAACACAGCACUUUGCUGAAAGAUUAAAAAUCUAAGUAUAAAGUGUGAGAUCUGCCCAGUGCCGGCUGGUUAACAGAGACAACUAGGUAUACUAUUAUCUAAUGUCGACGGAAACCCCGGUUAAAGGCGGCCUUAACGUGAGGGUCCUAAGGUAGCUAAAUGCCUUGGCCGUUAAAUGCGGUCUUGCAUGAAUGGUGUAACGAUACAACAGCUGUCUCUAUGAUUGACUCAGUGAAAUUG